UACGUAGGGGGCAAGCGUUAUCCGGAUUUACUGGGUGUAAAGGGGGCGCAGACGGCGAUGCAAGCCAGGAGUGAAUGCCCGGGGCCCAACCCCGGGACUGCUCUUGGAACUGCGUGGCUGGAGUGCAGGAGGGGCAGGCGGAAUUCCUGGUGUAGCGGUGAAAUGCGUAGAUAUCAGGAGGAACCCCGGUGGCGAAGGCGGCCUGCUGGACUGCAACUGACGUUGAGGCCCGAAAGCGUGGGGAGCAAACAGG
rnacentral:rRNA from 1 species